rnacentral:rRNA from 1 species
AUUGAACGCUGGCGGCAUGCUUUACACAUGCAAGUCGAACGGUAACAGGCCUUCGGGUGCUGACGAGUGGCGAACGGGUGAGUAAUGCAGCGGAACGUACCCAGAGGUGGGGGAUAACGCAGCGAAAGCUGUGCUAAUACCGCAUGUGAUCUGAGGAUGAAAGCGGGGGACCGAGCAGCAAUGUUUGGCCUCGCGCCUUUGGAGCGGCCGAUGUCGGAUUAGCUAGUUGGUGGGGUAAAGGCCUACCAAGGCGACGAUCCGUAGCUGGUCUGAGAGGACGACCAGCAACACUGGGACUGAGACACGGCCCAGACUCCUACGGGAGGAAGAAGUGGGGAAUUUUGGACAAUGGGCGCAAGCCUGAUCCAGCAAUGCCGCGUGCGGGAAGAAGGCCUUCGGGUUGUAAACCGCUUUUGGCAGGAACGAAACGGUGUCCGCUAAUACCGGGCGCUAAUGACGGUACCUGCAGAAUAAGCACCGGCUAACUACGUG